rnacentral:tRNA from 1 species
GAGGGUGUGGCUCAGUGGUGAAGAGCACUGACUGCUCUUGCAGAGGACCUGGAUUUGGCUCCCAGCACCUACA